GGAUGGAGAUUAAGAUUACACGCAACAAACUAAAUAUUAUCAGAAAAACUGCAUACAAAUAUAAAAGGUGGGCAAUGAAGCUAUAAUUACAUGUGCAUCCUUAUUCUUAUACACAGAUAAUUCCAUAACUACACAAAAGCCACUGGUAAUCCAUUAUCUCACUGAUCCAUAACUACAUAGAGAUAAGAACCAAGGAGUCAAAUUUGAGCUCGUGGAAGGCUCAAAUUUGAAGAAAAAAUUGUCAUCCUCUCUUAAACAUAAUAAUAUCUAAAUGGCUAUUCCGAAAGAGGCAACCAUGUUACCAUCCCUCGGGCCACUAUUCGUCAUUCGGUUGAUACCCAGCAGCCCAUUGCCAUUGGCAAAACUGAGAGCUAUUAGCUGCAAUGGAUGCAGAUUACAUUGACAUAUAUUUUUCUUAUUUUUAUCAGGUAUGUAGAGGACCAGCUGGCAUCUAUAACUCUCUAAUUCAUUGAAACUUCUUCGUGUUCUACUUCUUUAGUAUCAUCUCCCUUGUGUAAACAUCAGGAAAACUUCUCCGUGUUCUGCUUCCUUAGUAGCAUCUCCCUUGUGUAAACAUCAGGAAAACUUCUCCAUGUUCUGCUUCCUUAGUAGCAUCUCCCUUGUGUAAACAUCAGGAGAGCAGAUACUUGAAAGGCUUGACGACAGCAAAUGUAGUCACACAAUGGUCAUCAUGAAUGUAGUAGCAGCAAGAAGUGGCACUAAGACUUUUGAUUGACUCUGCAUAGGGAGAAGAUGGAAAUUAGAUCACUUUGUAGUUUGUAUAAUCAAAAGAGUUUAGGGUGAAAUCCUUGUUACAGGCAUUUUCCCGUAAAAAGGAUGAAACCACUUGCUGCCUGCACAACCCAGGUUUGCAGCAUACAAGCAGUUACACGCAGAGCAUGUAUGUAAUAUAACUAUGUAAGGUACAAAUCAAAAGAAUAUACAUUAUUCUUCCAUAUCGUAGGGAAAACAAAUCUGGAGCACAGAGUAGAGAGAAACACCUUCAACACAUGUUGCAUAUAUGACUACCGCAUGAAAAUCUUCCUCAUAAGAAAAAAAUUGAUGCNNN
rnacentral:lncRNA from 1 species